rnacentral:rRNA from 1 species
GAUGAAUGUUGGCGGUGUGCCUGAGAUAUGCAAGUCGAAUGCCUUGUGUGGAGCAAUCUGCGCAAGUAAUGGCGGACGGCUGAGUAACACGUAGGGACUUACCUCUUUUUGAAGGAUAGCCCAUCGAAAGGUGGGAUAAUACUUCAUGGUAUGAGUACCGCAAGGUAUUUAUUAAAGAGAUUAACUUCUCGAAAAAGAGAUGGACCUGCGGCUUAUCAGAUAGUUGGUAGGGUAACGGCCUACCAAGUCUACGACGAGUAGCUGGCCUGAGAAGGUGGUCAGCCAGAGGGGACUGAGACACGGCCCCCACACCUACGGGUGGCAG